CACUGGAUUAAGAGCCUCUCCCCUGUUUUCACGCCUAAAAACAGAGGAAUCCUCCCUCCAUCCGUGUGCUGCCAACUUGGCAAUCCUCACCGCCAGCCAUCGCCGCACCACCAUCAGUCCACCGCGCGCUACCUCUGCCCCUCGCUAGGUGCCACCCUCGUCCGCCGUAGCCAGCCCCAGCUCCACGCCGCCGUGCUUUCCCCCACCCUCCGUGACGAUUAAUUUUGGUUCGGCAUUAUUGAGG